rnacentral:rRNA from 1 species
AUUUAAUUAAUUAUUAUUAAUUUAUUUAAAUUAAGUAUAUUUAAAUUUUAUUAUAAAUUUAGAAAAAAUUAUUUUUAUUAUAGUAAAUAGUAUAGUGAUAGAAAUUAAAUAUAAAUUAAAUAAAAAAAAGAAAAAUUAAUUUUUUGUACCUUGUGUAUCAGGGAUUAUUAAAAAAAAAUAUAAAUUUUAAAUUUCUCGAUUUUAAAAGAGUUAAUAAUUUAUAGAUUUUAUUAUGAAAUAAAUAUUUAUAAUAAAUUAUUAGUAAUGAAAUGUUAUUCGAUUUUAAAUAUAUCUAGUUUUUUAAGAAAUAAAUUUAAUUUAGUUAUUAAUAAAAAUUAGGAUUAUUAAUAAUUUUAAUUUUAUUAAAAAUAAAUAUUUUAAGGGAUAAGCUUUAAAAUUAUAAAUAUAUAAAAUAAUUAUUUGAAAAUAAAUGUAGAAUUAAAAAUUUUUUUCAUUUAUAAUAUGUUAUAAUUAAUUUUUAUUUAAAUAUUAUUUAUAUAAUUUUUAUAUUUUAUAUUAAAAUAAUUUAUUUAAUUAUUUAAUAAUUGAAAUAAUGAUAAUAUUAGUAUAAUUUAUUGUGAAUAGAAAUUAUUAUAAAAAGGUUAAGUAAAGGAAUUCGGCAAAUAAUUUUUCGCCUGUUUAUUAAAAACAUGUCUUUUUGAUAUUAAUUUAAAGUCUAACCUGCCCUAUGAGUUUUAAAUGGCCGCAGUAUUUUGACUGUGCAAAGGUAGCAUAAUCAUUAGUUUUUUAAUUGAAAGCUAGAAUGAAUGGUUGAACGAGAAAAUUACUGUCUCUACUUAAUUUAAUUAGAAUUUUAUUUUUAAGUUAAAAAGCUUAAAUAAUUUUAAAAGACAAGAAGACCCUAUAGAGUUUUAUAUUUUAAAUAUUUUAAAUUUAAGAAUAAAAAAAAGUAUUUAUUUUAUUUAGUUGGGGUGAUUAAUAAAUUUAAUAAACUUUAUUUAAAAUUAAACAUUGAUUUAUGAAUAAAUGAUCCAAUAUUGUUGAUUAUAAGAUUAAAUUACCUUAGGGAUAACAGCGUAAUUUUUUUAAAGAGUUCUUAUCGAAAGAAAAGAUUGCGACCUCGAUGUUGGAUUAAAGUUAAUUUUAGGUGUAGAAGCUUAAAAAUUUAGUCUGUUCGACUAUUAAAACUUUACAUGAUCUGAGUUUAAACCGGUGUGAGCCAGGUUGGUUUCUAUCUUUAAUUAAAUAAUAAUAUUUUAGUACGAAAGGACCAAAUAUUUAUAAUAAUUAUUUAUAUUUGAAUAUUAUU